rnacentral:rRNA from 1 species
AUUGAACGCUGGCGGCAUGCCUUACACAUGCAAGUCGAACGGCAGCACGGGAGCAAUCCUGGUGGCGAGUGGCGAACGGGUGAGUAAAGUAUCGGAACGUGCCCAGUCGUGGGGGAUAACGUAGCGAAAGUUACGCUAAUACCGCAUACGAUCUAUGGAUGAAAGCGGGGGAUCGCAAGACCUCGCGCGAUUGGAGCGGCCUAUAUCGGAUUAGGUAGGUGGUGGGGUAAAGGCUAACCAAGCCGACGAUCUGUAGCUGGUCUGAGAGGACAACCAGCCACACUGGGACUGAGACACGGCCCAGACUCCUACGGGAGGCAGCAGUGGGGAAUUUUGGACAAUGGGCGAAAGCCUGAUCCAGCCAUGCCGCGUGCAGGAUGAAGGCCUUCGGGUUGUAAACUUCUUUUGUACGGAACGAAAAGGUUUGGCCUAAUAAGCUGAGCUCAUGACGGUACCGUAAGAAUAAGCACCGGCUAACUACGUGCCAGCCGCCGCCGUAA